GAUGAAGAACGUAGCGAAAUGCGAUAAGUAAUGUGAAUUGCAGAAUUCAGUGAAUCAUCGAAUCUUUGAACGCACAUUGCGCCCCUUGGUAUUCCGAGGGGCAUGCCUGUUCGAGCGUCAUUAUAACCCUCAAGCUCAGCUUGGUGUUGGGGCCUGCUGCACUGGCAGCCCUUAAAGUCAGUGGCGGCGCCAUCUGGCUCUAAGCGUAGUAAUUCUUCUCGCUAUGGAGUCCUGGUGGAUGCUUGCCAUCAACCCCCAAUUUUUCUAUGGUUGACCUCGGAUCAGGUAGGGAUACCCGCUGAACUUAAGCAUAUCAAUAAGCGGAGGA
rnacentral:misc_RNA from 1 species